CAAGGUCUAACUAUUGGCAUGGCAGAGUGCUAGUCAAAAAGCAAAGCACAAGUUUGAGAGUGCUUUGCUUUUUGCAAAUAAAGCCCUUUAAACAAUUGUAAGUGUAGCCCCAGUGGUAGCUUAGGUUGUCCUAGCAAAGCAACUGGCCAAGUCUUGUCAAAGCCCUCUUCAACUUUAGCUUAAACGUUGCUUGCCUUGCCACUGGCUCGUGUACCUUGGCUGCGCAUCAAGGCACUCGCUCCUAUGGCAAAGGUUGCUCAUUGCUAGAGUGCUUUAGGGUUAGUGUGUUAGAAGAACCCUCUUCUUGCUUGGCUUACGCAUUCAUUUUGGUCGCUGAGGGUGGGCGGCGUGUUAUCAUUUCCAGAGCCAUGGAAUAGCACUAAAAAACGAGCACAAUCUGGCCUGCUGUAUGUACCAAGCACGCGGGUCCUGGCAAAGCGGCGCUCCUUGAUAAGCUCCUAUAUAAGGGAGAUUCUAAUGCGGCAGAAGUUUAUCCCUAUGUGAACUUUGUUGAAACAAGGCGCAGCCACGAAAGAUAGAAGGCUGGGUCGACCAAACGAACGUAACUAAUAGUAGUACUAAUUGUAUUAGUACUAUUAGUACUAAUACUAGUAGUACUAAUAUAAAUACUUAGUAGUACUACUUAGUACUAAGUACUAAUAGUACUAGUACUACUAUUAGUACUAAUAGUAUACCACAAGUAUUAUUAGUACUAAUAAUAUUAAUAGUACUACUACUUCGUAGUACUAAGUAAUACUAGUAAUACUAGUAGCAGUAGUACUAGUAAUACUACUAUUAGUAGUACUACUACUAAUAGUAUUACUAGUAGUAAUAGUAUUAGUAUUAGUAGUAAUAAUAAUACUAAUAGUAUUAGUAGUAAUAAUAGUACUACUAGUACUACUAUUAGUAGUAUUUGUAAUAGUAGUAGUACUAUUAGUACAAUUAGUAUUACUAAUAGUAUUAUUACUAAUAGUACUAUAAUAAAUAGUGUGCAGUAUUGAACAACCAAGUCAUCGAUCUUGGCUUAUGUAGCCAACAAGCACUGAGCGUGUGCUUUGAGUGCUACGCAUCUUAUCGCUCCGCUAGGUAGCAAGGUCUUACUAUUGGCAUGGCAGGGUGCUAGUCAAAAAGCAAAGCAAAAGUUUGAGAGUGCUUUGCUUUUUGCAAAUAAAGCCCCUUAAACAAUUGUAAAUGUAGCCCCAGUGGUAGCAUAGGUUGUCCGAGCAGAGCAAGUGGCCAAGUCUUGUCAAAGCCUUCUUCAAGUUUAGCUUAAACGUUGCUUGCCUUGCCACUAACUCGUGUUGCAUGGCUGCGCAACAAAGCACUCGCUUCAAUGGCAGAGGUUGCUCAUUGCUAGAGUGCUUUAAGGUUAGUGUGUUAGUAGAAUCCUCUUCUUGCUUGGCUUGCGCAUUCGUUUUGGUCACUGAGGGUGGGCGGUGUGUUAUCAUUUCCAGAGCCAUGG
rnacentral:lncRNA from 1 species